UCUGGAGUUCUCAGCUGUUUUCCUUUCACUGCCCCAAGGCAAAACAGAAGCUCCCUGAGCCAGUGGGAAUCUCCUCUGCUUCUUUCUUAGCAUAAGGGAAACCUUAUGUCCCAGGACUGGAUCUCCUUCAUGUUGCAGGUGCUCUGAUGUCAUCUCCUUGAUAACUCCAACCAAUGUGGAUUCCACACUGAAAGUGUUGAAGUUGUCUACAUACCAACUGACACAAUAUCUCUCAUUUGGCCACUUGAUCAUGUGGGAAUAUGAACAUUUAAGGCACACUAUACAUACUAUCCAGUGGAAAGGAUCACAGAGAAUAUCAUAGGAAAACCCCAUGAUUUGAAAGACAUACCUGUACCAUUUUGUGAAUUCGACUUUCCUUCUCCAUAUCUUAUUUGUUCACACUAUCAGGCUAUCUGAAAUGGGAUCCCAGAGCAUCCUUAACCUGUUAAAAUAAUUUUUGUUUCUUUGCAACCCAAAACAGGUACUGUUUCUUACAUGAAAUCUUCCCUGAUCACACUAUAUGGAAAUAGCCUCUGCCUCCUCAGUCAUUAAAAUAUCUAUUUGCACUCUUCUAUCCACAUAUCACCUUCCAAUUUGUAAUACAAUUAUUUGUGAACAUUUCAUAUCCUACUAAAUAGUAAGUUCCUUGAGGAUAUGCACAAUAUUUUUCAUUUUGCAUCUCCAGUAAUUUGUACAAAACCUUACCUAAAGUAUCCACUUAAUGAAUGUUCAUUGAACUAACGUAAUGGUUGGCAUUCAAUGAAUAUUUGCUAUUAAUAAAGCAUGACACUGUUUUGUUACU